ACUGAAUAGAUACCCCGGUAGUCCACGCUGUAAACGAUGAUUACUCGAUGUUGGCGAUACACAGUCAGCGUCUGAGCGAAAGCAAUAAGUAAUCCACCUGGGGAGUACGAUCGCAAGAUUGAAACUCAAAGGAAUUGACGGGGGUCCCGCACAAGCGGAGGAGCAUGUGGUUUAAUUCGAUGAUACGCGAGGAACCUUACCUGGGCUCGAACGUAAGAUGACUGUAGGUGAAAGCUUACAUCUCUUCGGAGCAUUUUAACGAGGUGCUGCAUGGUUGUCGUCAGCUCGUGCCGUGAGGUGUCGGGUUAAGUCCCAUAACGAGCGCAACCCCGUACCUUUAGUUGCCAACAGGUCAUGCUGGGGUACUCUAAACGGAACUGCCUACGCAAGUAGUGAGGAA
rnacentral:rRNA from 1 species